rnacentral:rRNA from 1 species
AGCAGCCGCGGUAAUUCCAGCUCCAAUAGCGUAUAUUAAAGUUGUUGCAGUUAAAAAGCUCGUAGUUGAAUUUCGGGGUUCUACCGUUGGUCGGGCAAUAGUCUGUACUGGCGUGUAGAAUUUCUACCUUCUGGGGAACCAUCAUGUUAUUUAUUUAGCGUGGUGGGAAACCAGGACCUUUACCUUGAAAAAAUUAGAGUGUUCAAAGCAGGCUUACGUCUGAAUACAUUAGCAUGGAAUAAUAAAAUAGGACGGUGGUCCUGUUUUGUUGGUUUCUGAAUCACCGUAAUGAUUAAUAGGGAUAGUUGGGGGCAUUAGUAUUCAAUUGUCAGAGGUGAAAUUCUUGGAUUUAUUGAAGACUAACUUCUGCGAAAGCAUUUGCCAAGGAUGUUUUCAUUAAUCAAGAACGAAAGUUAGGGGAUCGAAGACGAUCAGAUACCGUCGUAGUCU